rnacentral:tRNA from 1 species
UAUAUAAUAGUUUAUAAUAUUAAAACUUUAAAUUGCAAAUUUAAAAAAGUAUAUCUUUAUACUUAAAUAU